GACGAACGCUGGCGGCGCGCUUAACACAUGCAAGUCGAACGGAAAGGCCUGCUUUCCCUUGUGGAUUGCGGGUACUCGAGUGGCGAACGGGUGAGUAACACGUGAGUGAUCUGCCCCCAACUUGGGUAUAAGCCUGGGAAACUGGGUCUAAUUCCCGAUAGGACUGCAGGGUGGUGCCUGUGGUGGAAAACGAUUUUCUAGUGGUUGGGGAUGAGCUCGCGGCCUAUCAGCUUGUUAGUGGGGUAAUGGCCUACCGAGGCGGCGACGGGUAGCCGGCCUGAGAGGGUGGACGGCCACAUUGGGACUGAGAUACGGCCCAGACUCCUACGGGAGGCAGCAGUAGGGAAUAUUGCACAAUGGGCGGAAGCCUGAUGCAGCGACGCCGCGUGGGGGAUGACGGCCUUCGGGUUGUAAACUCCUUUCGACCGCGAGGAAGCCACCUGGUUGGAAGGGUGGUGACGGUAGUGGUAGAAGAAGCACCGGCUAACUACGUG
rnacentral:rRNA from 1 species